rnacentral:rRNA from 1 species
GAUGAACGCUGGCGGCGUGCCUAAUACAUGCAAGUCGAGCGAACGGACGAGUAGCUUGCUUUUCUGAUGUUAGCGGCGGACGGGUGAGUAACACGUGGAUAACCUACCUAUAAGACUGGGAUAACUUCGGGAAACCGGAGCUAAUACCGGAUAAUAUUUUGAACCGCAUGGUUCAAAAGUGAAAGACGGUCUUGCUGUCACUUAUAGAUGGAUCCGCGCUGCAUUAGCUAGUUGGUAAGGUAACGGCUUACCAAGGCAACGAUGCAUAGCCGACCUGAGAGGGUGAUCGGCCACACUGGAACUGAGACACGGUCCAGACUCCUACGGGAGGCAGCAGUAGGGAAUCUUCCGCAAUGGGCGAAAGCCUGACGGAGCAACGCCGCGUGAGUGAUGAAGGUCUUCGGAUCGUAAAACUCUGUUAUUAGGGAAGAACAUAUGUGUAAGUAACUGUGCACAUCUUGACGGUACCUAAUCAGAAAGCCACGGCUAACUACGUG